AUCGCUUUUUGGCCUUUUGGGUCAGAUCAAGGGUAGUAUUUGUUUUUUUCAGUUUAAUAUUUGAUACGUCCCCCCUCGGGGGGCUACAUAUUAAAUGGAUUUUUCGAACAGGGAGUCGGAAAUGGGGCUUGCUCCGUCCGCUCCACGCAUCGACCCGGUAUUGCAGUACCUCCGGGAACGGUGCAACACUU
rnacentral:snRNA from 8 species